CAAGCUGGGAUACAGUGGCAUCACCACAGCUCACUGCAGCCUCGACCUCCACAGGAUCAGAUAAUCCUCCCACCUCAGCCUUCUUAGUAGCUGGGAUUACAGGCACACACUACCAUGCCAGGCUAAUUUUUGUAUUUUUUUUGUGGAGACAGGGUCUCCUUAUGUUGCCAAGGCUUGUCUCAAACUUCUGGACUCAAGCAAUUCACUCAGCCUCCCAAAGUGCUGAGAUUACAGGUAUAAGCCACCACACCUGGCCAAUUCUUUUUUUCUCUGUGCUGCAAUUUAUUUUUCUAUUGACUUGUCUUCCAGUGCACUAAUCAUGUCUUCUGCUCAAUCUAUUCAGCUGUGAAACUCAUCUAUUGCGUCUUAUUUUUUAUUUCUAAAAUUUCCAUUUAAUUCUUUUUUAGUAAAUUCUAAUUCUUUGGUAAAAUUUUCCAUCUUGAUUCCUAUUUUCCUUCCCUUUCUCUACUUUCUUUAGCAUCCUAAUGAUAGUUAAGAUCCUUGUGUGUUAAUGUCAAUAUCUGAAUCAACCAUAGGUGUAUUUACAUUCUCUAUUUUUUUCUCUUAUUGUUGGUCAUAUGAUCCUAUCUCUUGGCAUACCUAGUUGUCUAGUUUAGUGAACACUAGACAAUAUAUGUGUGUAUACAGGUGUACACACACUCACACACACACAGAACAGAAGCACCAUAUAAUGUUAACUUCAUCUAGAAAAAGUUUGUCUUUCCUGUGCUGGAAAGGUUAGAAACUGAUCAACCUAAUUUGAUCAAGGCUGACUGCAAUUUUGUAUGACUAAGUCUGCCUCUGGUUUACUUCACUCCUGGAUAGGUCCUGAACUUUUAUCCUUGUGUUUCAGCAUGGCAGGACUGCUGAAAUCUUUUAUGUUUUUUUGUAGGCUUUCUGCUUAGCUUCUUACCCUUCUGAACCACAGCUUUAAAUUUUUAGCAAAUGCAUUGAGCUCUAUGUAUUGACUAUGUGUCCAUCUCAGUGUUCUGCCCCAUGCUUUCUUAGCCACCCCACUUUCCCUCUCACCACUGCAAAAUUCUCUGCUGGUUUUACUGUCCCCCCAGCAGUGGCCUUCCCUCUUGGAGGCAAAUUUCAGAUUUUCAGCCUCUGCCCCAUUCUCCAGGGUAAAAUAAACAGAUGCAGACUAUUGGCUGCAAUCUCUGAGGUUGCUCCUUUUUUGAAUAUUCCUCCUCCCCUCAGCCUUGGUUGCUUCAGUAGCUCUCCAAUGCCAUGAAAUUAAUUGUUUUUGUUUCAUCUAGCUUUUCUAGUUGUUUUGGGCUAAAGAGUGGUUUGUUGCUACUACUUCAACAUAACCAGAAGCAAAAAUCCAUCAUUUUUUUUAAUGAGUUCUGGGGAGCCCUUGUUAAGGAACAAAAAAAGGACUGCUGGAACAUACAUCCUUUGGGGGGUUUCCUGGGUCAUGUUUUACCUCAGUGUGUCCAAGAGGCAGUAUAGUUGGUUGUAACCAUGACUCUUCAUUUAAGUGCUGAAAAACAUAGGCCAGCCAUUGAAUUUUUUCUGCUUAAAAAGUGAGGACAUUAUCUUCCCUUCUUGACAGAACUGUCAUGAAAAAUAAAUAUUUAUUUAAGAGUUUUGGAAAGGUAAACAUGACAUGUGUUAUGUAUACAGUCAGUCCUACAAUAUCAAAUGUUUGUUUCUCUAGCUGUUCAUUGGAUGAAUGUCUUUCUCCCCUAGUUAGAUUGUAAGCACUUUAAGAGAGGGCCUGUGUCCUCUACUUCCAUCUUAUUUCCUGUGGUUUCAAGCUUUGCGUGACUCACAAAAUAGUCAUCAUUUAAGUGUUUUACUUUUAAAAAGCCACCUUACCCCAUGUCUGUCCAUAUUAAAGUAUUCUGGAAGGCAAGCUAUCAGCCUUGCUAUGGUGUGAAUGUUUCUGUCCCUUUAAAAUUUAUGCAUGGAAAUCUCAAGCCCCAAAGUGAUGGUAGUGAGAGGUGAGGUCUUUGGGAAGUGAUUAGGACUUGAGGACAGAGACCUUAUGAUUGGGAUUAGCACCCUUAUAAAAAUGAGACCCAGAAAGCGAGCCCACCACUUCCACCUUGUGAAGACACAACAAGAAGACAUCAACUAUGAACCAGAAAGCAGGCACUCAACAGACUUCCCAGCCUCUAGAAGGGCAAAAAACAAAUUUCUGUUGUUUAUAAGCUACCAAGCUUAUGAUAUUGUGUUAUAGCAGCCCAAAUGGACUAAGAAAAGCCUCAUUUGGAUUUCUGUCAAUCUAUGUUGGUAAACAACAGCUUUGGGAUUUGUAAUGUUACGUGCUGACAAAUUUAGAGGACCAAUUUUGAUAAUUAGUUUUUAUUUUCUCUUUCAUCCUUUAAACUAAUAAAGUCUUAGGGUAAAGAAAUUUCAACAGCAUGAAACAGUAGAUGACUUCACUUGCUGAUGAUGAUUAGACCCAACUUCUUUUUUCGGUAAUUACUAAUAUGUGGUAGAAGUGGAUCACCUCUCUUAAAGACAGGGUACUUAAAGUGAAAUGCUUCUAUGUACCCAUUCAAUCUCCACCUCUCUCCACCAGACCCUUGCUUUCAUCUAAAAACAAAAGGAACCAAUUACUUAUUCCAAGGUAGUCUUGAAAAUCAUUUAGACAUAAUUAAAGCUUGCAAUAUCCUGUAAGCAAGUACCAUAUUCUAAUAUUUUCUGCCAAGAACUGAAUUUGCUAGGCAUGACACAUUUAUUUCUGGCAGUAGAUGUACCAAAACCUACCAACACCAGGGAAUUAAUAAAUACCACAGCCCUCCUAUGGAGCAAGUUGCAUGAAUAUUUAAUAGGAAAUGCAUGAUGAAUUUCUUGCAUGAUUAUGCAGAAAAACAUUUGGGAAUGAUUGCAGCUGUUACAUGAACUAGCUCAGUCUCCCCCAUCUCUGUCUUUAUCAAUCUCAAUAUUGUACUUUAACUUCAGCAGUAAGCUAUCUCCAAUGAUGAGUAUUGCAGACACCUGUCAACAUUUUAGGACAUGUGUGACUCUUUAUAUAUGCUAUCUGUGUGUGUGUGCCUUACAACUUUCAGUGGUGCAUUUUGAGGGAACUGAGAGAGAAGGUGAAAUAAGCUAAAAGGUAAUAGCUGUCACUCUUAUGGGUGUGUCACAUUUUCUCUGACAAGACCUUUACAUCUCCACCUAAGCCCUGUGAAAAUCUAAUCUAAUCUAAAUUUGAUAACGGUGAGAUUUUUGCAGAUUCUUAGUUGUUUUUAGUAUUACAAAGAUGUUUUUCUUCCUUCAUGUGUAUUGUAUAUCCUUUAACCAUCCUCCCCUUCAAAAUAUGUACCUUUUCAGCAGGUAAAAUAGUCCUUUAACAUUUUUUAACUUUCUGGCACAUUCAUAAGGUUGAAAGAUCAUUGAACAACAAAAAUUUUUUUAAAUCAAGAAUUAGAAACAGAAGAUCAUUUAUCAAAUUUGAACAGGGAGGCCAAGUCAACAUGUUUUGAAAGCCAGUCGGUUUGGGCCCUCCAGAGCUUCAAAGGGCAUCUCUUUAAAAUAAAAGCCGCUUUUUUAUUCCAUUCAAAUUUCCCAAUUCAUAGUCGAUCUUCAGCACCCUGUUCCCAGGAAGUGGGGAUUCCAGAAAACCCUCAAACCCUGGAACCUCCACAGACAGAACACAAUGUUAUCAAAUCACUGCAGGGAGCUCAAACAGGCCCAGAUUUUGACAAUAGCUUGUGACCUUCUAAUGAAUUGCAGGUGACACAAUGUCUAUGCCCUCUAAAGCAAUUGAGUGCUUACUAAAUGUCAUUAAAGAGUUGGCACUCCUUAAAUUAUCAAGUGGUAAUUAUAUUAUUGGCUUCAUAACAAGAAGAAAAUCCUUCUAAAUUACAUAUUUGUUCCCCAAGAGUGGUAGUGAGAUGAGUGGUACCUACAAAGAUGGUGACUUACUUUACUGCUCUCACAUGUUGGAAUCUAUUUUUGGUAAGAGCUCUGGUCAACCUGGACAGAGGCUCUGCAAUCACAAAGAUAAAUGCAUCCUCACUGAAUCAUGUUUCUGUCUGAAGAAAGUGUAGACACAAGAGAGGAUGUGGUAAAAAUCCAAAAAUUUCAAGAUGUGCACCCAAGUUAAACAAACAAACAAAAAAUCACGAACAACACUAGAAAGCAACUUCUUUUUCCAAAAGUUAAAAUGUCACAGUGAGGCAAGACAGUUUCUAUCCUGGCUUCCCUAUUUCCCACUGGAAUCUGAAUGUCUAAUAUGUGUGCAUCCUUUGACAAGCUCACCAGAAAAGGCCAUAUGAAGGUUUCCCACUAUUGAGGACAUCCAGUGCUGCACUGCAAAACCCUUGCAAACAUGUUACACACAGAACAUCCCCUUGUCAGCAAAAGUGAAUACUCAUCCUUACCCAUCACAGAACCUUAAUCAGCAGCAUAGUGCCUCAGUGAUAUAACUUAAGGUGAAAUAGACUCACAUCACCCCCACCUUCCAUCUUGCCAAAGUCUAAAAUUAACAACCAGUUCUUGUGCAAAAAAUCAAAAAGGAAAACUCAUCGUGUGCUAGAAUUAACCUAAAUGCUUUAUUUACGGGGGUCUAUCUUUGGUACUUUUAGAAUAUUUAUAUGCAGGCAGAAAUAUGUAGAUUCAAGGAGAAGAAAGCCAAAGGGCCUUUGCUGUGCUGCACAGAUACAGUUGAAAUGAAUUGCAAUCUGACCAUUAGAUUAUUUCUAUUGUUAAAACAUAAACUUUAGUUUGUGAUGAUGACUUAGUAUAUACCUCAAUUAGAGCAUGAUUAUAGAAUGGUAGAGAAUUCUAGUUCUAAUGAUCCCUAAUGACCUUUUUCUUAACCCAGCACUAUCAGGUAUAGUCAAUUAAAAUGGCCAAAAUAUUUACACUAACUCACCUAAGAAAAGGUAUUUUGAGGAAAUUGUCCUUGCUUCUUUUUGUAUCUUGCAGGAGAGUUCAGUGUUAUCUCUCUCACGUGAAUGAAAAUGAGAAAAUGUUCUUUGUAAAUGAAUAAUACUGUUUAGAGCUAACCUGCAAUAUGUUAAAUUUUAUAUUUGGAAACUGACUUGACCCAACUCAGACUUGCUCUAAAGGAGGCUGAUUCAAGCCACCCAUUGGGAAGGGGCGAAACAAAGCACAGCCACCAGUUUCCUGUUGCCUGGAUCUUUUAUUACAUUGGCUCAUUAAAACUCCUUGUUUGUAUUUGCAUUUUACUCUUGGGCAAUUUUACAACAUAGAAUAGUGAUAAGCUUGCAGGCUGAUCCUACUCAUUAUGUUUAAUCAUGACUGCAAUAAGGGAGAUCAUCGUAUCAUGCCUCUAUCUCAAAUACACUGCAGUGAUUUUAAAAUAGAAUCAGUACCUUACAAUAGCCUUGGCACAUGCUCUCUCUUUUUUCAAGAUGAGUGCUUGAAACAUAAAAUAAAAGGCAUACAAUGAAGUUGGAGAGGUCCCCAUUUUUAAUCAGAAUGUAUGAUUAAAAUGAGGGGAAAACCUUACUGGAAAGCAAAUGUGUGGAGAGAAAGAGAGAAUAAAUGAAUAUCAUUGAAGAGUUUAGUUGAUCUUCUGUGGCUGCCCCACACAUCCCUACUUCAAGACAUCCAUCUGAGUGUGGCCCAAGAGGACCCUCAUGUUGUCUUGGGUUGGUCUUCUGCACAUUCAGGUUUAUAUUGUAGUUUAAGAGAGCCAGUGCUUCAGUUUCUGGCAUCAGUUACUAAUUUUUUUAUGUUAAUGAAAAACACACAUCAGCUCCUUGAAAUUCCCAAAAGCAGCAUCAGUUUUGCCACUAAUUGCAGUACUUUUGGGGUGGUGGAGGGAGAGGGGGAGUGAUUCCAGUAGCAUUAGUUGGGACAGGGUUCUUUGCCUCCCUGAGUGGUCCUCUAACUGAAAACAUUUGUGACUUGCUCCUUCUGGCCUUGAGUUCUCAUGAAUUUUGAGAAAUUGGAAGCUCCCAGGAGCACCAGAGCAUGAUGAAAUAAUGGAACUCUGGAGGAACUCUAGAGGAACUCUGACCUACGAGAUAUGAGGAAGAAAGUCUGCCUCAAACUUCAAACCCCAGCAGAAGGGAAUUUGAGACAUAUCCAUUUGAUCUUCUGUCUCAACCUAACAAGAUAUUCCUCUUCAGGGCUAAAUGCACUCCUACAGGCUCUUCCAGCAACUGAUAUCUUAUGCAUGAGAAUAUUCUAAUGAAUGUGACAAGCACAAAUAUAAUAAAUUGAUUUUCUAUGAAAUGUAAUUUUUGAAAUAACCAGAGGACUUUGGGAUGCUGAGAAUUCCCCCCAAAACUUAGGGAGAAUCACUAAAGUGGGAAUUUGAGGGAUUUUUCCUCCCCUGAAACCCACUUAGAGCCUUUCUCAUUCUAGUUACCAACGCAUAAAAAUUAGCUUUGCUCAAUAGAAUGUGUUCUAUGGAUAAAAACAGAAAUGUCACAAAAGGGUUGAAUACCCCAUUAUACAUAAUAUCUCAACUUUUGCAUACUCAAAACACACAUGCUCAGCAGACACUUUGCUAAAAUUAUUUGCUGCAAAACAUGAAGCAGGCAGGAAGCCUAUGCACAAUGAAUUGAUUUCCAAGUCUUAUUUGUGGCUGAUUUGAGGUUAGAGAGCAUUUCUGUGCUGGGUGGAGUGGUAAAAUGAAUGUUUAUUGCUUAGGAUUUAAAAGGUCCAUUAUCAUUCAGGCUCAGUAAGGUUCUGCCACACAAAACUGAGUGCCAGGCCAGCAGGCAACUGAUUCAAGUGACAAGAGGUGAGCUGCAACAGCCUUUCCAUGUUAAUAAAACAUGUCCCAGCACUCAGAAGGAACUCUAGCACAGUAUGAGAGCAGAUAGAAUUUAUUAAUCAGAACUACCGUUAACUCUAAUUAUAGACUGCCCCCAAGUUACAAAAUAAAUGGAUGCCUUGGAAAUAAAGCAAUGUUUUGUAUAUUGAAUCCCAUAUUUCCACUGAAUCCUCUUAUUAUAAUUGAAAGUGAGUUUUGAUAGAAAAAAGUCUAAUCCCAUUAAUAGAGACUGCCAGAUAGCUCCCUAUCCAAUUUCCCACUUUUAACCUUGUAAUCUUUAGUUCUGGCUGAAGUGCUUGUCCAGGAAUCAGGAACAAUGGCAUCUGGUUCUGAUUCUGCCAGUCAUUAAAUGUGGCACCUUAAGUCAGUCAGCUUUCUCAUCUGCACAAGAGGAGGUGUUAAACUUGAUCAGUUCAUCACAAAUGUUGGGAAUCUUCUGAAAGCUGUGGACCCCCUCCUCAGAAAGAUACAUGUACACACAUACACAAGACCUGUGGGAAUCAAUUUCAGGAGUAAAUCAACAGAAGCCUAUUGAAGAAUCCUAGGUUUAAAAUCUCUGAAGCAGAUCAUCUAAAGUAAUUUGAGCUUUAAAACUUUCUGUGAUUUUGGUUUUUCGACCAGCUUCUGCAUGGAGAUAAUAAAUUACGACAUUAGUUGCAUUGACAAGUCUAAUGUGUGUGAGUGAGUGAGUGUGUGUGACGGGGUCUGGCUCUAUCGCCAGGUUGGAGUGCAGUGGCUCAAACUCAGCUCACUGCAACCUCUACCUCCCAGGCUCAAGUGAUCCUCCCUCCUCAGCCUCCCAGGUCUAUUCUUGACUGACCAAGAUAACUGUGUACCCCUUUCUUCGUGUCAGCUGCCUCUACACAGCAUGGGCAGGAAGAGACUUUGCUUUAAGUAACACAUAUUCUGGUAUACCACAUACCAAUCUGUACCACCAUAAAAUAAGGGACAUCUGUAUGAAUAGACCAAAAUUUCAAACGCUGCAAGUGCAAGUAGAUUGCCUUCAAUAAGCCCUAUGGCAUGAUGUCACUCUGGAGUGACGCCACAGAGCCUCUGGGUCUAGCAGCAGUGUUACAGUGCACAGCUUUCCAUCUCCACAUCUUGUCUAUGCUGUGGAGUUAUUGCUACCAUUUUGAAAGAUAAAAGCAAAUCAUUUGACAUUACACCUAAACAAACUGCUCUUUUAGUUUUUAAAAGUACCAUGCAAUAUAUUUAAAACCGUCCUUCAUUAAAGCACUCAUGUCAUCCUUGAUACUAUAAUCCCUACCUUCAAUUUAUCCUUAAAUACAAUUUAAAUACAAUUUAAAUACAAUUUGAGGAUCUGAGGAGGUAGAGACAGAGAGAGGAUCAGGAUGAGGAUGAAGAUCAGAGGUAAAAUGGGGGUCAGCAAUAGCAUUGGUAUUAGUAGCUAAGGACUUUCUAUUUAAAAGGCACUGAAUUCACAUGCUUUUCUUUCACUACAUUUAGCAAAACUUGAAUCCCAAGGAGUGUUUUUUAGUCCCUGUAAAGCCCAUAUGCAUAUUAAGAAAGCUUUACACCUCCCCCCACCCCCCAAAAAAAAGAACCUUGAGGAAAUCAACUCAGAAUUACUUUGAGAAGUUUGAUAUACCUAGUAAUUAUAUACCAGAAAAAUACAAAAUAGUAAAUAUUAAGUCAGCUUAUGUCUGCCCAACAUUGGGGCACUAAAAUUAGUUUCAGUAUUGACAUCACUAGCCAAGUGACAAGGUAACAGUACUGCAGUGGGAAAAGAUAUUUAUAAUACAUACAACCAACUCUAUCCAGGAUUUACAAAGAUGUCUGCAAGUCAGUAGGAAAAAUACAGCCAAUUCAGUAGAAAAAUGGUGAAGGAACUUGAAGAUACACUUUGAAAAAGAGAAUCUCUAAUGGCUAAUGAAUAUAAAAAAAAGUGCUCUAUCUCAUUAGUCAUUAGGAAAACGCAAAUUCAAAUCUAAGCAAAUACCACUACCCAGUAGAAGACACAAAAGGGAAAAUGGUUGACAAUACCAACUGGAAUAAACAUGUGAAACAACUGGGACUUUCAUACACGGCUGGUAGGAGACUAAAGUUGAAGAUACUGUUGGACCCAGCAAUUUCAUUCCUAGGUAUAUACCCAAGUGAACAUGCACAUGUACAAAAGAAUGCUCACAGUAGCAUUAGUCAUAAUAGACCCAAACUAGAAACAUCUCAGACAUUCAACAAUAGAAGAAUGUAUAAAGAUAUUGUAAUAUAGUCACACAAUGGGAAAUCAAAUGACAAACUACAUUUACAGGCAACAAAACUAGUGAAUUUCACAAACAAACCAAAAAAAAAAGCAAAAGAACCAGACACAAAAGAAUAUAACUGUAGGAAUACAUUUUAUGAAUUUCAAAAGUAGGCAAAACUAAACUGAUUUCAGAAUUUAAGCUAGUGGUUACCUUUGGGGAAGAUGGAAGGGAGAGUGAUUGAGACAGCAUUCAGGAGACAGUGCUUCUGUGAUUUUUAAAUUUCUUGAUAAAAGUGGUGUUUUCACACAUGGAAUCAUUUUGUGAUAGUUUACUGCAGCAUGCAUUUAUAAUCUGUGCACUUUUCUGAAUAUAUUAUUAUUUAAAAAAUAGUUGAGAGAGAGAGAAAGAGAACAUAGCUUGGGGGGAUAUAUACAAGAUUUCAAGUGCUGAAAUCUUAAUUUCUCACUUGCAAACUGUGACUUUGGCAAUUUAUGUAAUUUAUCUGAGCCUCAGUUUCUUCAUUUUUAAAAUGAAGAUAAUAGUGAUUAUCGGCUUUGUAUUACUGAAUGGAAACAUUCAUGAAAAUUAUUUAGCACAGUAAAUGUUUGCUGAUCUAGUCUAUCCCCUCAAUUUACAAAUGAACAAACCAAGAGACAGAAGUGACAUGUCUUGUUCACAAUUCCUACCUAGCCUGUUGUCAGAGCCAGAAUCUGGGCUUAUAACAGAUAAGCAGUCACAGGCAAGGGUGACUACUGUACUGUGAACUGAAAUUAAACAGAAGACACCCUUCAGACCAUUCUGUUUGCUUCUUCCAUGUGUGUCAAUAACACGAGUUACACAUUUUUUUGCUCUGAUUCUGGCUUCACAGUGACAUUACUCAGCAAGUCUCUACAGAGUGGCUUUGGAAAAAAGAUAGCAAAGUAAAUCAAGUAAGUAAUUAAUUCAAUUCAACACAUACUUACUGAGCACAUACUAUGUGCCAGACACCAUUCUAGGCCCUUAGAAUUUUCCAGUAAACAAAAGAGAAAAAAAUGCCUGCCCUCCAAACACUUAUUCUAGUAGACGUAGGGCAGAGAGGGAGGAAGUUGGACAGUGAAAAUUAACACGAUAAAUCAUUUAUAUAUUGUUUUUAAAGGUAAUAAAUGCUUAUUUUAAAAUGUAGGCUUUAUUAUUACUCAAAUAUGGUGAGGCAAAUAGAUCAGGAGACAACUGCCAUUGUAAAGACAACUGUUAUUUUCACAGGUCCCGAUUUAGGCUUAUAAUGCAUAAGCAGUCACAGGCAAGGGCGACUACUGUACUUGAACUGAAAUUGAAUAGAAGGCACCCCUCAGACCAUUUUGUUUGCUUCUUCCAUGGUUUUCAACAACACAAGACACACAGGGGCCACAGGCGCCACAAGGGGAAGCACCAGAGUGGAUCAGGAGGCAGGAGCAAGACAAAAGUACAGACAAGAGCCUUUACUGUGGCAUCUACAGGAAGCAAUGGAUAAGGCAAGAACGUGAGCCAUGGUGAUGGAAGCCUCUUCCAAACCAAAGUGCUUAAUAAGUGCUCGUGAGGACCAUACAAUGUGGAAGGAACCUGGGUCCCUGAAAAUUCCCACAGAAGGCUACUGACCAAGAAAUCUUUCAAAAGACUAUGACAGGAGCAAAAACUACAUUUUUAUUGGGUUAAACUACAGAGAUUUCUGGGUGUAUCUGUUACAGCAACUGGUGUUAAUUAAACAGAGAAGAGCACCGUUCCAUUUUCUCUUUAAGGUUGGAGUAUUAAAUUGCCUCUAUUGUCUCUUUUACGGUAUUGAUAUUUUUUGAUUGAUUGAUCGACCAGGUUUCUUUACUAUCAAUUCUUCACCUUUAAUGGGCCCUCUUUAUAUUUUUUCUACAUAUCCCUGCAUUAUAUUUUCUUGAUGUUUCCCGGGACAUCUUAG
rnacentral:lncRNA from 10 species